rnacentral:rRNA from 1 species
AUUGAACGCUGGCGGCAUGCCUUACACAUGCAAGUCGAGCGGCAGCGGGGGAGAAGCUUGCUUUUCCUGCCGGCGAGUGGCGAACGGGUGAGUAAUACAUCGGAACGUGCCCUGUAGUGGGGGAUAACUAGUCGAAAGAUUAGCUAAUACCGCAUACGACCUGAGGGUGAAAGUGGGGGACCGCAAGGCCUCAUGCUAUAGGAGCGGCCGAUGUCUGAUUAGCUAGUUGGUGGGGUAAAGGCGCACCAAGCCGACGAUCUGUAGCUGGUCUGAGAGGACGACCAGCCACACUGGGACUGAGACACGGCCCAGACUCCUACGGGAGGCAGCAGUGGGGAAUUUUGGACAAUGGGCGAAAGCCUGAUCCAGCAAUGCCGCGUGCAGGAAGAAGGCCUUCGGGUUGUAAACUGCUUUUGUACGGAGCGAAAAGGCUCUCUCUAAUACAGGGGGCUCAUGACGGUACCGUAAGAAUAAGCACCGGCUAACUACGUGCCAGCCGCCGCAGUAA